rnacentral:lncRNA from 11 species
CUAGAAGCACCUGGGUGGGAAAUUACCCAGAACAGCUGGCUGGUGCAUAAGAGGAAGGCAGGGUUUUUUUGUUUGUUUGUUGGAACCUCAAUGUAGGCAUAGACUGCAUAAAUUGGCUAAAUUGGGAUAUUCUCUAUGCUUUUCCUGGAGUUCCCGCAAUGGAAAGAAGAAACUGGCCGCCAGGAUGACAUUUGCGAAAGUAUGGAAAUUAGAGGAAACUCCGAAGAAAGACACUUGGAUGUAUAAAUUAGAAGAAAUACACAGCAUGGACAAACUUAUGUUCCUUCUGAAAGAAACAAGAGGAAAAUAUCAUUGCCAUGAAGUGUCCAGUUUGUGACUACUGUAAAUUCUCCAGUGUUCAACAGACUUUAUGUUUCUUCAGGAAGGAAACUGCUGACAAGAUAAAAGCUCAUUUUUAAAAUUAAAUGGCAAUACAUCCUUUCUUUCUUUCUUUUUUUCAUUACUGGCCACAUCAAGUUGUUGAACACAUUGUCUGAAAUAUGUAGCAAUAUUAGUUAUUUGUAAAUGGAAUGCAUUUACAGACUUGCUUGGCAAUAAGGUGGGAAGAGCCUAGUGUAUGGGCUGCAAGGUUAGUCAUUAUUAGUUAGGGCUUUGAUUUAGAAUACAAUAACAGCCAUCAUUCCUCUGACAAGAACAACGUCAAACUCUGUUCUUACCAGGUAAUCAAAGCAAAGGAGAAAUAUUGCAUCAGUACACCUAUCAUUUUCAUACAGUGUCACCUCAGCUACAAAGAUUGCUGUAAAUUAAAGGUGUGCAUACUGGGAGCCUUUGUAUU